rnacentral:misc_RNA from 1 species
AAAGUCGUAACAAGGUCUCCGUUGGUGAACCAGCGGAGGGAUCAUUACAAGAAGCCGCAAGGCUACUUAAAACCAUCGCGAACUCGUCCAAAGUUGCUUCGGCGGCGCGGAGCCCCUUCACCGGGGCGCCGCGGCCCUCCAGUCCCCGGGCUCCCGGGGGGUGUGGGCGCCCGCCGGAGGUAUGAAACUCUCAUGUAUCAUAUAGGCAUCUCUGAGCAAAUAACCAAUAAGUUAAAACUUUCAACAACGGAUCUCUUGGUUCUG